rnacentral:rRNA from 1 species
GAUGAACGCUGGCGGCGUGCCUAAUACAUGCAAGUCGAGCGAACAGACGAGGAGCUUGCUCCUCUGACGUUAGCGGCGGACGGGCGAGUAACACGUGGAUAACCUACCUAUAAGACUGGGAUAACUUCGGGAAACCGGAGCUAAUACCGGAUAAUAUAUUCAACCGCAUGGUUCAAUAGUGAAAGACGGUUUUGCUGUCACUUAUAGAUGGAUCCGCGUCGCAUUAGCUAGUUGGUAAGGUAACGGCUUACCAAGGCAACGAUGCGUAGCCGACCUGAGAGGGUGAUCAGCCACACUGGAACUGAGACACGGUCCAGACUCCUACGGGAGGCAGCAGUAGGGAAUCUUCCGCAAUGGGCGAAAGCCUGACGGAGCAACGCCGCGUGAGUGAUGAAGGUCUUCGGAUCGUAAAACUCUGUUAUUAGGGAAGAACAAAUGUGUAAGUAACUAUGCACGUCUUGACGGUACCUAAUCAGAAAGCCACGGCUAACUACGUG